UAGGUACGCUGGCUUAGUGAUCGGCCUACCCGAAUAUUGGAGUAAUAAUUAUGUCACUAACUGUUGCAGAAAAAGCACAAAUCGUUGCGGAUUACGCAUUGCAAGAA
rfam:Gammaproteobacteria bacterium Q1 genomic scaffold scaffold23, whole genome shotgun sequence.